CAAAACAUGGCAUGACAACUCAUUCAAAAUAAAUCAUGUUUUCACAUAAAACACGCUUUGAAAGAAAAGAAGAGAAGCCCACCUCAAUUGCUUAAACUCUUGCAAAACGGGUGCUUUCCUUUCCUAAGAUAACGCGUCGAGCGACGACGUUCCUUUACAAAAUUUAAUAUACUUAAAUUAGGCUUUAAAUAAUUAUUUCUCUUGCAUGUAUGCAUGCCUAAACGUGUGCUUACUGUUUUACUUCUUGCCUCUUAAAUUUAGAGGUCUUAAAUCUUGAAUUAAAUCGGCAAUUUAAUUUAUUCAGAAUUGACCGAACUGUUCGGGUAUCAAAAAUUUCCCGCAUUAUCUUAAGUAUCUUUAAAAUACUUUCUGUGACUAUUAAAGUCUGCUUUAACUAUUUAUCGAAUAUUAUUUCGACACGGCUUAAUAGUUAUUUUCUUCCGUGGCUUAGGGAAUAAUUUUCGUCAUGCUUUUAAAUUGAUCCAAGAUAACGGCUUCAACCAAAUUAAUGGUUCUAGUAAUUAAAUUCUCAAGCCCAGCUGGAAAUUUAUUUAUUCUUGCCCAGACUAUUUAUUUUCUUAAACAAUCGGCCCAGAUUAGGUGACUGGUCCAGUUUGGACCAUUUACUCACUAUGCCUAAAAGAAAUAAACUGGGCAUGGCCCAACUACUCCCCCUUCCAUCUUUCUCUUUCAUUUUCAUAACUUUCCCCCAAACUGAAGAAACAACUGGAAACGGGAAACCCUAGCCCCCCUUUCGUUCCGCCGCCGCCUUCAAGCAGCGCCGCCUCCGACGUCACCCUCCAUCGCGGCCGUUACGGUGUAUCACCGCCUGUCGUCCGCGAGUUCCGUGUGGUCAGGACUCGCCGUUCCCUCGCGAACGGCCUUCGAGCACAGGGUCUGAUGCCAACACGUGAGGUCUCUGCCUCGUGCGCCGCCGAACGAGGCUCGGCGUACACCUCCGUCGCUCCAUUCGCUGACGUCGCUGCCUCCUGAAGGUCAGCGCCGUCGUUGACGGCUCUGCGACUGCCUCUGCGGCCUCAGCUAAGUUUUCUCCCCCAGCUCAGUUUAAACGGAUAAACUUGCUACGCUUACUUAGCUUUCAAUGUAGUUGUGUUUUGUUGGUGAGGGGUUCUUCCCCAAGUUUAAGUUCGAAAAAAAAUCUCAGUUGUUGCGGCUACUGCUCGUUCUCGUUAUUCUAAUGUGAUUACCGUACUUGAGCUCUAACUAUGAUAUCCUAGCAUUCUUGCGUUACUGUCAUUCUUUGGGUGGAAGUCUUAGUGUGAGCAUGCUUCCUAAGGUUUCUAUGUUGUAUUCUAACUAUAUGAUGACAUGAGAUGUCAAUUUGUCUCGAGAGUGAAAGAGGCUACCUUCACUGCUACUGAUAUGUCGCUCUCUACUUCUGGCCUUGAUCCCCAACUCGGCUCCUUCCCUUCUCCUUAGCUUGUGGGGUGCUAUUGAUUGUGGUACUGAAGGAGGAAGGGCUGAGGGGCUAUUUAUAAUGGUUUGCCUAACUGAAAGCCUGAGGAAGGCUGGUGUACUUGGCCGAAAAGGGGAACUCUCAAGCUGAGCAGCUGGCUGCUCUAUCUGCAGCUCUGCAGAGCUCGUCCCUGCUCCUUUGGCCUCUUUCUAACUGAUUUUGGUGGCAUAUGGGGGGUGUACUCGUGGGUUUAUUCAUUGCUUUUGUUGGUUUGUGGCAGGUGCACUACAACCGACUGAUUCUCCAUAGCACAAAGACAGAUAUGAGUGAAGUACGAGCUGUAAGGAUGCAGCCUUGCAGAGUCCAGCCACUGAGAUGAAAUUCUUUUGGCUGACUUGCUUCUCUCGGCCCAGCUCUUACUCACUUUCGGAAAGGAGCCGAGGCUGCUACUGAGGCUGCUCUUCCUCGUGGUCUCGUCCCCUAAUCUCCCAGCUCGUCGAACCCCCUCCUGAUCUGGGCCGAGACGGCUCGCGCUGAGGGCCGAGGAAGCUCUCUAGGAACGCUCGGUUGUAGUAGUUCACUUUGAACUCUCCUUUGUUCUUUUCUCUCUUUCUUUUGUUUUCAACACAUGUAUUAUUUACUAGUCAUCGGGUCUCGAUUCAUUUAUUCUCAUCGCCGAAGAUUGUAAUUUAUUAGUUUGAGGUUCUAUAAAUUGUACUUGUACUUAUUUUCUAGAAAUGGAAAUGCUUAUUCAUUCUUUAAUAAAA